rnacentral:lncRNA from 1 species
UUUCUGCUCUUACACAUGAGCCGAACUGUGAACUAUUAAUUGUAUUUAGUUUAGGUUAUAAGUUGUAAGGAUGAUUAAUGUUCGAAUAUAAAAAUAAUUUUCUUGUUUUUUAUGCUGCUGAUACUCUCUUUAACUUUGAGCAUUUGAAUUUAUAAUAAAUAUUUUUAUAACGUCCAUUUUGUUGUUUUUUGCAAAUAGUUUUAAUGAUGCAGUUAUUCUAAAGGCAAAUCUAUAUAA